rnacentral:rRNA from 1 species
GGGGAAUAUUGCGCAAUGGGCGAAAGCCUGACGCAGCGACGCCGCGUGAGGGAUGAAGGCCUUCGGGUUGUAAACCUCUUUCAGCAGGGAAGAAGCGCAAGUGACGGUACCUGCAGAAGAAGCACCGGCUAACUACGUGCCAGCAGCCGCGGUAAUACGUAGGGUGCAAGCGUUGUCCGGAAUUAUUGGGCGUAAAGAGCUCGUAGGCGGUUUGUCGCGUCUGCUGUGAAAACGCGGGGCUCAACUCCGCGCCUGCAGUGGGUACGGGCAGACUAGAGUGCAGUAGGGGAGACUGGAAUUCCUGGUGUAGCGGUGGAAUGCGCAGAUAUCAGGAGGAACACCGGUGGCGAAGGCGGGUCUCUGGGCUGUAACUGACGCUGAGGAGCGAAAGCGUGGGUAGCGAAC